rnacentral:rRNA from 1 species
AUUGAACGCUGGCGGCAGGCCUAACACAUGCAAGUCGAGCGGAUGAAGGGAGCUUGCUCCUGGAUUCAGCGGCGGACGGGUGAGUAAUGCCUAGGAAUCUGCCUGGUAGUGGGGGAUAACGUCCGGAGACGGGCGCUAAUACCGCAUACGUCCUGAGGGAGAAAGUGGGGGAUCUUCGGACCUCACGCUAUCAGAUGAGCCUAGGUCGGAUUAGCUAGUUGGUGGGGUAAAGGCCUACCAAGGCGACGAUCCGUAACUGGUCUGAGAGGAUGAUCAGUCACACUGGAACUGAGACACGGUCCAGAAUCCUACGGGAGGCAGCAGUGGGGAAUAUUGGACAAUGGGCGAAAGCCUGAUCCAGCCAUGCCGCGUGUGUGAAGAAGGUCUUCGGAUUGUAAAGCACUUUAAGUUGGGAGGAAGGGCAGUAAGUUAAUACCUUGCUGUUUUGACGUUACCAACAGAAUAAGCACCGGCUAACUUCGUG